UACGGGAGGCAGCAGUGGGGAAUAUUGCACAAUGGGCGAAAGCCUGAUGCAGCUAUGCCGCGUGUAUGAAGAAGGCCUUAGGGUUGUAAAGUACUUUCAUCGGGGAGGAAAAACAAAACUAAUAAUUUUAUUUCUUGACGUUACCCGAAAAAGAAGCACCGGCUAACUCCGUGCCAGCAGCCGCGGUAAUACGGAGGGUUGCUAGCGUUAAUCAGAAUUACUGGGCGUAAAGAGCACGUAGGUGGUUUUUUUAAGUCAGAUGUGAAAUCCCUGGGCUUAACCUAGGAACUGCAUUUUGAAACUGAAAUACUAGAGUAUCGUAGAGGGAGGUAGAAUUCUAGGUGUAGCGGUGAAAUGCGUAGAUAUCUGGAGGAAUACCUGUGGCGAAAGCGGCCUCCUAAACGAAUACUGACACUGAGGUGCGAAAGCGUGGGGAGCAAACAGGGAUUAGAUACC
rnacentral:rRNA from 1 species